rnacentral:rRNA from 1 species
CCAAUAGCGUAUAUUAAAGUUGUUGCAGUUAAAAAGCUCGUAGUUGAAUUUCGGGGUUAGUAGGUUGGUCAUGCCUCUGGUAUGUACUGGUCUCACUGAUUCCUCCUUCCUGAUGAGCCGUAAUGCCAUUAAUUUGGUGUUGCGGGGAAUUUGGACUGUUACUUUGAAAAAAUUAGAGUGUUUAAAGCAAGCUAACGCUUGAAUACAUUAGCAUGGAAUAAUGAAAUAGGACGUUCGAUCCUAUUUUGUUGGUUUCUAGGAUUGACGUAAUGAUUAAUAGGGAUAGUUGGGGGCAUUAGUAUUCAAUUGUCAGAGGUGAAAUUCUUGGAUUUAUUGAGGACUAACUACUGCGAAAGCAUUUGCCAAGGAUGUUUUCAUUAAUCAAGAACGAAAGUUAGGGGAUCGAAGACGAUCAGAUACCGUCGUAGUCUUAACCAUAAACUAUGCCGACUAGGGAUCGGAUGAUGUUAAUUUUUUAAUGACUCAUUCGGCGCCUUACG